UGAGAGACGGCAGUUGGCAAGACAGUGAGAGACAGCAAGAGAUGGCAAGUGACAGUUAUCGUUAAGAUGACAAAUGGAGAGAUGGCAAGAAAUAAAGAAGCAGUCAGUGAUGGAGGCUGCAAGAGUUGUAACACUAACCAAAGGCUCUUUUUAGAGCCAUCGUUUUCCCUGGCAGGUGGUACAGCCAAGCAGACAGGCAAGUGGCCAUACUGCUGCUGCCUCAUGUGGGAUUCGGCAGGCUGGUGGGUUAUCAGUCCUCACGUGGGACCCUCCCACCAUGGCAGCUGAGCGCAUCCAAGCUGGGGGAUCCUGAAGAGACCUUCACCUGGGUGCCAUGUGGAAGAUUGGUCAGCACCAUUUUGACUCCUGUGGAUGGCACCCAAACUGCACCUGGUCACCUGUCUACAUUCAGAUUUGGAUGAAACCCACACCAUGGAGGCAGCCAGAAGCCCAUGGGAGAUGUCUGGAUGCACAGAGGAAUAGCUCCAUGUGAUGCAAACCUUGACUAAUGGGAACAGGAAAAGGGAGGAAACCAGGAAGAUAAAUUUGCCUCCCUUCUCAUUGCCCCUUGCAACUCUUCCCACUUGAAGCAUGACCACAUUUAAUGAACAACCUGCUGUGUCUCUUGGAAGCUUGCUGCAAAGCAGCAAUCAGCACAAUAACAUUGUAUUGUAUCUUCCUCUGCUUCACUUCUCUUCCUCCCUCACCCUCACUGCCCUGAGCUGGCACAUCCCAAAGAAAGCACUACCACAUUAA
rnacentral:lncRNA from 1 species